rnacentral:sRNA from 1 species
GGAUGUGAGGGCGAUCUGGCUGUGACAUCUGUCAUUCCAUUGAUCGCCAGGGUCAAUUCGGCUGAUCUGGCUGUUUAGCUGGGUGUCCCCUUUCUCCCUCACCUUCCAAUGUGCAUCGCUCCUGAAGCUGUGCACUAGGUCAAGAGGAUGACCACCCCUAAUAAAAGAGGACCGUUUCCUCUGACAAGGGUACAGAACCUCCAAACAAGCUCUCAAGGAAACGUCCCUGUGCAUUAGUUCUCAUACUGGAAAAUGCUGGUGGGGAUGUAAAGAAAAAGGAAUCCUUCUCCA